rnacentral:rRNA from 1 species
UACAGAGGUGGCAAGCGUUGUUCGGAAUUACUGGGCGUAAAGGGCGCGUAGGCGGCCGCCUAAGUCAGACGUGAAAUCCCCAAGCUUAACUUGGGAACUGCGUCUGAUACUGGGUGGCUUGAGUUCGGGAGAGGAAUGUGGAAUUCCAGGUGUAGCGGUGAAAUGCGUAGAUAUCUGGAGGAACACCGGUGGCGAAGGCGGCAUUCUGGACCGAAACUGACGCUGAGGCGCGAAAGCCAGGGGAGCAAACAGG